rnacentral:miRNA from 10 species
UUGCAUAGUCACAAAAAUGAUC